rnacentral:rRNA from 1 species
GUGAGGAAUAUUGGACAAUGGGCGAAAGCCUGAUCCAGCAACGCCGCGUGGAGGAUGAAGGCCUUCGGGUUGUAAACUCCUUUUACGGGGGAAGAGAAAGGACGGUACCUCGUGAAUAAGUCACGGCUAACUACGUGCCAGCAGCCGCGGUAAUACGUAGGUGGCAAGCGUUAUCCGGAAUUACUGGGCGUAAAGCGCACGCAGGUGGUUAGGUAAGUCUGAUGUGAAACCUUUUGGCUUAACUGGAAGACGUCGUUGGAUACUGCCUGACUUGAGGCGAUGAGAGGAGUGCAGAAUUCCCGGUGUAGUGGUGGAAUGCGUAGAGAUCGGGAGGAAUAUCUGUGGCGAAAGCGGCACUCUGGCAUUUGCCUGACACUCAUGUGCGAAAGCGUGGGGAGCGAACGGGAUUAGAUACCCCUGUAGUCC